AUUGAUAGUGUGCCUUUUAUUUCUCUCAUCUGAUGGAGACAUGAAUAUGAUAUGUGCGACAUAUGCACUGUUUUUUAUCCAUAGACGUAUAUCCGGUUUCCCGCUUAAGAUUGUUUUCUUUGUAUUUUACUCCAUGCUGUGUAGAUUACAGAAACUUAGAUUAUGUAUAAAAAAAAGAAAAUUUUCUGUGUUCCGUGAGAGACUUAUGUAUAAAAUUUUAAUUGAUUCCAUUGAAAAUACAUUAGAACCUUUUAAAUAUAUUUUUUUAGUAUGUUUGAUUUUGAAUAUCCCGGGACUAAUGGCGUCUAUGUACCUUUUUCUAGAAUUGACUCAGCUCGAAGAAGAGAUGAACUUUACAGUAAUAACGUAUUUAUUUUUGAUACCUAUUAUCAUUACUAUCAUCUUACCAACUCUGGCGGCUAGUUCGCUAUCUCAAGAAGCUCAGAAUAUUAAAAUGGUAUUACAAAAUCGAUUUAUUGAACUAAAAUACAGUAACAAAACCACAGAAAGAUUCAUAGAUUUCAUAGAUGGAAGACCUUUUAAGUUCUUUAUAUUCUCUUUCAUACCGAUGGACGCUACACUUCUUGUCGUAAUAUUGAAAUACUGUAUUUCUUAUUUCAUAGUUCUUGUACAGUUAACACAUAUCUAUUAAGGACCAAUAGGAUAUUCAGCAUAG